GGAUCCAGACUUUGAUUCUGGCUCAGGAUGAACGCCAGCUACAGGCUUAACACAUGCAAGUCGAGGGGAAACGACAUCGAAAGCUUGCUUUUGAUGGGCGUCGACCGGCGCACGGGUGAGUAACGCGUAUCCAACCUGCCCACCACUUGGGGAUAACCUUGCGAAAGUAAGACUAAUACCCAAUGAUAUCUCUAGAAGACAUCUGAAAGAGAUUAAAGAUUUAUCGGUGAUGGAUGGGGAUGCGUCUGAUUAGCUUGUUGGCGGGGUAACGGCCCACCAAGGCAACGAUCAGUAGGGGUUCUGAGAGGAAGGUCCCCCACAUUGGAACUGAGACACGGUCCAAACUCCUACGGGAGGCAGCAGUGAGGAAUAUUGGUCAAUGGACGAGAGUCUGAACCAGCCGAGUAGCGUGCAGGAUGACGGCCCUAUGGGUUGUAAACUGCUUUUAUAAGGGAAUAAAGUGAGUCUCGUGAGACUUUUUGCAUGUACCUUAUGAAUAAGGACCGGCUAAUUCCGUGCCAGCAGCCGCGGUAAUACGGAAGGUCCGGGCGUUAUCCGGAUUUAUUGGGUUUAAAGGGAGCGUAGGCCGGAGAUUAAGCGUGUUGUGAAAUGUAGACGCUCAACGUCUGCACUGCAGCGCGAACUGGUUUCCUUGAGUACGCACAAAGUGGGCGGAAUUCGUGGUGUAGCGGUGAAAUGCUUAGAUAUCACGAAGAACUCCGAUUGCGAAGGCAGCUCACUGGAGCGCAACUGACGCUGAAGCUCGAAAGUGCGGGUAUCGAACAGGAUUAGAUACCCUGGUAGUCCGCACGGUAAACGAUGGAUGCCCGCUGUUGGUCUGAAUAGGUCAGCGGCCAAGCGAAAGCAUUAAGCAUCCCACCUGGGGAGUACGCCGGCAACGGUGCAACUCAAAGGAAUUGACGG
rnacentral:rRNA from 1 species